rnacentral:hammerhead_ribozyme from 1 species
AUUCAGCUGAAGAGUCCAAAACAAGACGAAACGCGAGUCAUGGAU